CCAGAACUCGAUACCACGUUUGGAUCGACAAGCAUCCCCGACCCACAUGAUGCUACACUUCAUACGUCGGACAUGGUGGAAAGUUCUGACGAUGAAGAUGAUGAACUCAGCAGCCCUCCAGGGUCC